GAGUUUGAUCAUGGCUCAGAACGAACGCUGGCGGCAGGCUUAACACAUGCAAGUCGAACGAGCUGAGUCCUUCGGGACUCUAUGCUAGUGGCGCACGGGUGAGUAACGCGUGGGAACGUACCCUUUAGUACGGAAUAACCCAGGGAAACUUGGGCUAAUACCGUAUGACCCCUCCGGGGGAAAGAUUUAUCGCUAAAGGAUCGGCCCGCGUCAGAUUAGGUAGUUGGUGAGGUAAUGGCUCACCAAGCCUACGAUCUGUAGCUGGUCUGAGAGGAUGAUCAGCCACACUGGGACUGAGGCACGGCCCAGACUCCUACGGGAGGCAGCAGUGGGGAAUAUUGGACAAUGGGGGAAACCCUGAUCCAGCCAUGCCGCGUGAGUGAAGAAGGCCUUC
rnacentral:rRNA from 1 species